GCGUACAUACCAAGAAUAAAAAAUAAAAACUAGUUGCGGCUUCAGUUGCCAUAAAUACUCCGACGAUGUGGGUAGCACAAAGUGAAUUUUGAAAAUUGACCGUGAAUCGUGGUAAUGGCCCAUGUGGUACUUAGUUCGAGGGAAAGACAUGUGGAUCAUGGUGAUGGUUCACGUGAAACUUAAUUCAAGGAAUUGUUGCGGGUAUGAACAAAAUCUCAUAUUCGUAGCUGAAAAGAUUAGGAGCCUACAUAUAAAAAGUAGGGAAUUGUGUGAGUCUUUUUGGAAAAGAUUCGUACAGAUUUGGUACACAGCAGAUAACAUCAAAUUAUGUUAAGAUUUAAC
rnacentral:lncRNA from 1 species